GGCACUAUAGCCAAGUGGUUAAGGCGAUAGAUUCGAACUUAUGUUAUGCAUCUAUUACUCUUUGAGUGCGCAGGUUCAAAUCCUGCUGGUGUCG
rnacentral:tRNA from 1 species